rnacentral:rRNA from 1 species
ACGUAGGUCACAAGCGUUAUCCGGAUUUACUGGGCGUAAAGCGUGUGCAGGCUGUUAGGUAAGUGGUGUAUGAAAGCGCUCGGCUUAACCGGGCGAGGUUAUGCCAGACUGCCUAGCUAGAGGCAGCAAGAGGGACAUGGAAUUCCGGGUGUAGUGGUGAAAUGCGUAGAUAUCCGGAGGAACUCCAGAGGCGAAGGCGAUGUCCUGGUGCUGACCUGACGCUCAGACACGAAAGCAUGGGGAGUGAACGG